rnacentral:lncRNA from 3 species
GUUCUGCAAAGCUUGCGACAAUUAUUCAUCUUCCUCCUUGCACCCGCAUUGCCAAUUAGCCUAAAAGGUCCUAGCCACCAAUCUUUGCAACCAACAUGCACCAAAGAAGCUAGUGAAGGCGACGUGAGCGUUGUGGAUAACAACGGUCCAGCAGAAUCAGGGAAAUAUGCCAUCUGCAUUUCACAGGGCUGGGAAUCCUCGAUGCUAUGGAAGAGUACUCCUGUCGCCGUCAAGGUCAUUGACGAGCUCCGCGCUAACCGUUGUGUGCUGCCUUCGCUGGAGUUUGCCGUGCUGAAGCUCAAAUCCUAGCCGCGGGAGC